AGGUCUUCGGAUGCUGACGAGUGGCGGACGGGUGAGUAAUACAUCGGAACGUGCCUAGUAGUGGGGGAUAACUACUCGAAAGAGUAGCUAAUACCGCAUGAGAUCUACGGAUGAAAGCAGGGGACCUUCGGGCCUUGUGCUACUAGAGCGGCUGAUGGCAGAUUAGGUAGUUGGUGGGGUAAAGGCUUACCAAGCCUGCGAUCUGUAGCUGGUCUGAGAGGGCGACCAGCCACACUGGGACUGAGACACGGCCCAGACUCCUACGGGAGGCAGCAGUGGGGAAUUUUGGACAAUGGGCGAAAGCCUGAUCCAGCAAUGCCGCGUGCAGGAUGAAGGCCCUCGGGUUGUAAACUGCUUUUGUACGGAACGAAAAGCCUGGGGCUAAUAUCCCCGGGUCAUGACGGUACCGUAAGAAUAAGCACCGGCUAACUACGUGCCAGCAGCCGCGGUAAUACGUAGGGUGCAAGCGUUAAUCGGAAUUACUGGGCGUAAAGCGUGCGCAGGCGGUUUUGUAAGACAGUGGUGAAAUCCCCGGGCUCAACCUGGGAACUGCCAUUGUGACUGCAAGGCUAGAGUGCGGCAGAGGGGGAUGGAAUUCCGCGUGUAGCAGUGAAAUGCGUAGAUAUGCGGAGGAACACCGAUGGCGAAGGCAAUCCCUGGGCCUGCACGACGCUCAUGCACG
rnacentral:rRNA from 1 species